ACCUGGAUGGCUCAAUCGGUUGAGCGUCUGACUUGGGCUCAGGUCUUGAUCUCACUGCUUGUGGGUUCGAGUCCUGCAUCAGGUU
rnacentral:tRNA from 1 species